CAGACCUCAAUGACACUCUACCUGAGCCGGUGGCCCUCGGCAUCGACCUCGGUGUCAUGAAGAACAUCCAAGAUUAUAUGGUCGAGAAGCUCAGCGUCGACAAGAGCAUCAUCCUAGAGCUCUGCAUCAUCCUCUACAAGCAAGUACCGAACCACCAUGGCCAUGCCACUGGCCAUUGUGCACCAAUUUGACGACAAUGAUUUCCACAGCUUUGUUCAUGGAUGGCUGGCUUAUGAAAAGCUCACGCCGACGCCUCCGGUGUGGCUUCCCCUACGCCUCCAGCAUAGGGUUCUUGUACAUGCGAAAGUGCAUGAUUUUUCGAUGGUUGUCUAGCUGCAGUUGUCUCCCCAUGUAAUGGCAUCAAGUUCAGAGCGCCCCAACUGCCUCUCCUUCGACCGUGGUUCAGGUAGUGGCUCGGUCUCCACUGUACUCUAUCCCUUGCUCUAUGGUGCCUGGCCAUUGUGCUUAGUCCAUGCUGUGA